CAAGUCGAGCGGUAGCACAGAGAGCUUGCUCUCGGGUGACGAGCGGCGGACGGGUGAGUAAUGUCUGGGAAACUGCCUGAUGGAGGGGGAUAACUACUGGAAACGGUAGCUAAUACCGCAUAAUGUCGCAAGACCAAAGUGGGGGACCUUCGGGCCUCAUGCCAUCAGAUGUGCCCAGAUGGGAUUAGCUAGUAGGUGGGGUAACGGCUCACCUAGGCGACGAUCCCUAGCUGGUCUGAGAGGAUGACCAGCCACACUGGAACUGAGACACGGUCCAGACUCCUACGGGAGGCAGCAGUGGGGAAUAUUGCACAAUGGGCGCAAGCCUGAUGCAGCCAUGCCGCGUGUGUGAAGAAGGCCUUCGGGUUGUAAAGCACUUUCAGCGGGGAGGAAGGCGAUAAGGUUAAUAACCUUGUCGAUUGACGUUACCCGCAGAAGAAGCACCGGCUAACUCCGUGCCAGCAGCCGCGGUAAUACGGAGGGUGCAAGCGUUAAUCGGAAUUACUGGGCGUAAAGCGCACGCAGGCGGUCUGUCAAGUCGGAUGUGAAAUCCCCGGGCUCAACCUGGGAACUGCAUUCGAAACUGGCAGGCUAGAGUCUUGUAGAGGGGGGUAGAAUUCCAGGUGUAGCGGUGAAAUGCGUAGAGAUCUGGAGGAAUACCGGUGGCGAAGGCGGCCCCCUGGACAAAGACUGACGCUCAGGUGCGAAAGCGUGGGGAGCAAACAGGAUUAGAUACCCUGGUAGUCCACGCCGUAAACGAUGUCGAUUUGGAGGUUGUGCCCUUGAGGCGUGGCUUCCGGAGCUAACGCGUUAAAUCGACCGCCUGGGGAGUACGGCCGCAAGGUUAAAACUCAAAUGAAUUGACGGGGGCCCGCACAAGCGGUGGAGCAUGUGGUUUAAUUCGAUGCAACGCGAAGAACCUUACCUGGUCUUGACAUCCACAGAACUUUCCAGAGAUGGAUUGGUGCCUUCGGGAACUGUGAGACAGGUGCUGCAUGGCUGUCGUCAGCUCGUGUUGUGAAAUGUUGGGUUAAGUCCCGCAACGAGCGCAACCCUUAUCCUUUGUUGCCAGCGGUUAGGCCGGGAACUCAAAGGAGACUGCCAGUGAUAAACUGGAGGAAGGUGGGGAUGACGUCAAGUCAUCAUGGCCCUUACGACCAGGGCUACACACGUGCUACAAUGGCAUAUACAAAGAGAAGCGACCUCGCGAGAGCAAGCGGACCUCAUAAAGUAUGUCGUAGUCCGGAUUGGAGUCUGCAACUCGACUCCAUGAAGUCGGAAUCGCUAGUAAUCGUAGAUCAGAAUGCUACGGUGAAUACGUUCCCGGGCCUUGUACACACCGCCCGUCACACCAUGGGAGUGGGUUGCAAAAGAAGUAGGUAG
rnacentral:rRNA from 1 species